rnacentral:rRNA from 1 species
ACUCAAAUGAAUUGACGGGGGCCCGCACAAGCAGUGGAGUAUGUGGUUUAAUUCGAAGCAACGCGAAGAACCUUACCAGGGCUUGACAUCCCUUGACGACGUAAGAGAUUACGUUUCCCUUCGGGGCAAGGAGACAGGUGGUGCAUGGUUGUCGUCAGCUCGUGUCGUGAGAUGUUGGGUUAAGUCCCGCAACGAGCGCAACCCUUAUCGUUAGUUGCCAGCACAUUAUGGUGGGCACUCUAGCGAGACUGCCGGUGACAAAUCGGAGGAAGGUGGGGACGACGUCAAAUCAUCAUGCCCCUUAUGUCCUGGGCUACACACGUACUACAAUGGCUAUUACAACGCGAUGCAAGACCGUAAGGUGGAGCAAAACGUCAAAGAUAGUCCCAGUUCAGAUUGUGGGCUGAAACUCGCCCACAUGAAGUCGGAAUUGCUAGUAAUGGCAGGUCAGCAUACUGCCGUGAAUACGUUCCCGGGCCUUGCACACACCGCCCGU